rnacentral:rRNA from 1 species
UACGAAGGGGGCUAGCGUUGCUCGGAAUCACUGGGCGUAAAGCGUACGUAGGCGGAUUGUUAAGUCAGGGGUGAAAUCCUGGAGCUCAACUCCAGAACUGCCUUUGAUACUGAGGAUCUUGAGUUCGGGGAGAGGUGAGGUGGAAUUGCGAGUGUAGAGGUGAAAUUCGUAGAUAUUCGCAAGAACACCAGUGGCGAAGGCGGCUCACUGGCCCGGAACUGACGCUGAGACGCGAAAGCGUGGGGAGCAAACAGG